GACGAACGCUGGCGGCGUGCUUAAUACAUGCAAGUCGAACGGAAAGGCCCUGCUCUUGCUGGGUGCUCGUUUGGCGAACGGGUGAGUAACACGCGAGUAACCUGCCCUUGACUUUGUGAUAACUCCUGGGAACUCCGGCUAAUAUCGGAUAUGAUCUCCUGCUGCACGUUGUGUGUUGGAAAGUUUCGGCGGUUGGGGCUCUACUCGCUGCGUAUCAGCUUGUUUGUGGAGUAGUGGCUUACCAAGCCUAUGACGGGUAGCCGGCCUGAGAGGGUGACAGGCCACAUUGGGACUGAGAGACGGCACAGACUGCUAAGGGAGGGAGCAGUGGGGAAUAUUGAACGAUGGGCGGAGGCCUGAUGAAGAAACGCCGCGUGCGGGAUGACGGCCUUAGGGUUGUAAAACGCUUGCGCAUGUGACGAAGCGUGAGUGACGGUAAUGGGUAAAGAAGGACAGGCUAAAUACGUG
rnacentral:rRNA from 1 species